GCCAGUGUGGUGUAGUGGUUUCAACAUUGGACUGUGACUCUGGAGACCAGGAUUCAAAUCUCCGCUCAGCCA
rnacentral:tRNA from 1 species